GGAGAGAUGGCUGAGAGGUCUAAGGCGCAUGCUUGGAAAGCAUGUAUAUCUUGUAUCAAGGGUUCGAAUCCCUUUCUCUCCG
rnacentral:tRNA from 1 species